ACAAAAGUAACUUACUUUCGAAUCAAAAAGUUGUUAAAAUUUGCUACAUUAAAAGUUUUUUUCUUGUUUUGAAAAUGAAAACUUUUACUGCUACAGUUUUUGAAAAUCUCAUUGCUCACUGAUUUAAAAGUUUUUCCUUUUAAUUCGACUGUAAAAUUUCUUUCAUUUUGACGUUCUCGUGUAACCGUGUACGCCUAAGUCGCAAAUGUAAACAAACACUUUGGUGGGUCCGGUGGUGCUGGUGAGUCUAGGACGCAAAGCAAAGCCGACCGCGGCAGCAACCAGGACUCGGACGCGGAAACCUUCGUGAGCCAAACAGCAGCAGCGGAACGCCUUCGAAGGAGGGUGGUGCAGGAGCGGGACGAUGUUGAGUGCUCGAAAAGGACAAGGCCAGCUUCCUGCAGGAACUGCAGCUGUUCCACGGCCGGAAUGCGAUGAGAGGUAGGAAUGUGGAUUCGCACCGGUUGUAUUCGGUGGUGGUGGCCCGGGAUUGGUGAUUGAAGGUCAAUUCCCGCGAGGACUGGGGCGAGAUCAUCGAGGAGAUGGCGCUGCCGAAGCGUUGCGUGAACAACGAGAUUGCGUUGAAGAAGAUUAACUUCCGGUUUUUGGACAAGUACGAGAAAGUUUAUUUUCACGGUGAGGAGAAGGAUCCGACGAAGAGGAGGACGACGAAAAGCUACAUAAUCGGAGGUGGUCAGCGCAGAUGUUGCACUCGGUGCCGGCGGUUUACAACACCGCAACUUCCCGCCCACAAACACUCACCUCGCGACGGCGCAGCUUCAGCCGAAUGAACCUGGACA